rnacentral:tRNA from 1 species
GGGGUUGUGGCUCAGAGGUAGAGAGCGCUUGCCUAACAUGCAUGAGGCACUGGGUUCGAUCCUCAGCACCA